GCUAGAAGAUGACGAGUGGCGGACGGGUGAGUAAUGCUUGGGAACUUGCCUUUGCGAGGGGGAUAACAGUUGGAAACGACUGCUAAUACCGCAUAAUGUCUACGGACCAAACGGGGCUUAGGCUCCGGCGCAAAGAGAGGCCCAAGUGAGAUUAGCUAGUUGGUAAGGUAACGGCUUACCAAGGCGACGAUCUCUAGCUGUUCUGAGAGGAAGAUCAGCCACACUGGGACUGAGACACGGCCCAGACUCCUACGGGAGGCAGCAGUGGGGAAUAUUGCACAAUGGGGGAAACCCUGAUGCAGCCAUGCCGCGUGUGUGAAGAAGGCCUUCGGGUUGUAAAGCACUUUCAGUUGUGAGGAAAAGUUAGUAGUUAAUACCUGCUAGCCGUGACGUUAACAACAGAAGAAGCACCGGCUAACUCCGUGCCAGCAGCCGCGGUAAUACGGAGGGUGCGAGCGUUAAUCGGAAUUACUGGGCGUAAAGCGCACGCAGGCGGUUUGUUAAGCUAGAUGUGAAAGCCCCGGGCUCAACCUGGGAUGGUCAUUUAGAACUGGCAGACUAGAGUCUUGGAGAGGGGAGUGGAAUUCCAGGUGUAGCGG
rnacentral:rRNA from 1 species